ensembl:lncRNA
GUUUAUUAUAUAUUGAGUCAGAAAUUCAUUUUCAAAAUAGAGAGGAAACAAUAUAGAAAAGUUAUCUUUCCUAUUUUAAUUCAGACAGAGUUUAAUUACCUCUCAAUAAGGAAGGUUGAUAGUGAGCCUCCUCCAAGAUGGAAGAUAGUCUUUCUAGAAACUAGGAAAGAAUCAAAUUUUCAGUCUCCCAAUAUUACAGGAGUUAAAAGUCCAAGUUGAAGCCAAGCUUCAAGCCCAUGAUCUAAGUUGCAGUCUCCAGCUAAGCUCCCUCGAAGACUCUCUUUAGUCAGGAGACUAUCUCCAUAAGACUGACUCAAGCUGCAGAAUUCAUGACUUUUUAUGGUGAUUUCUUGUCCCUGACCAUCUUCACAGGGACCAAUCACAGUUUCCAAAAUGUCUAUCACUGCCCAGGGGGGAGUGUUUAUAGGAACUAUUUCUCACCUUUUGGAGCGGUGAAGACAGAGUAUGGCUCCCUUCCCACCGAGUUCAUAAAAUUGACCAUAAAGAGAAGGACAAGGAGAGGAUGCAGGAAGCCUCGCAAGGAGACUCGACUACGUCUCAAUAAGAUACUGACUCUUCUACUUCUAUUCCAGAAUUUAAGUACAGCUACUGGAAUACAGAGAUGGGUUUUUUGGGAACAACCACCUUGGGUAGAGUAUGUUGGCAUGGGACACACUUUACCGUAAGUCAUCUUAUAUACAAAAACUAACUCUGAUAUUCCUGGCUUUUACCAUUUUGAGAAACAAGCUAAGGACAACAAUCAGGACAACAAUUUGUUUGUGCCUUUCAAUUGGAUUGUUCUAAUUGAGGCACCCCCAGUGUGCCUCACACGAGACCAUCCUGAAUGCCUGCCCCUCAAAUCUCUGCAGGCGCAUUAUUAUGGUCAUCCUGACCUGUCAGACUCUUUCUGGAUAGGACCUUAUCGUGUAGAUAAAAGGGAAAAAUAUGAAGGUUAUGGCCAAUUGCAAUAUCUAAGUUGGCUGGGAGAAUCUUGGGAUAGUACUUGGGGACAAGAAAGACCUAUUUGUCCAUACAUGAUGGAAUAUGAACAAAGAGACACUGUUAAUAUGUUUCCUCCUUUGCUAUCAUGUAGAUCUAAAAGGGCAUCAUGUAUUCAUUGGAAAAACAUGACUUGGGUGUCUUGGCAUAACGACACAAGAUGCAUUGGAAAGAAACUGGAUUCUUAUACAUUUCAUGAUUAUUUUAUAGGAGGAUUCAGCUUGCCUUUGUGGGUGAUGCCCCAGAGCUAAUUGGUUAUUACUAAUUUCACACAGACUUUGACUGAUUACAGAAAGAUAGCCCUGGCAUUGGAUGAAGUGUAUAUGUCUCAUUAUGUUAAUGUUACUUAUAAUGGAAAAGUCCAAAAACCAGUAAAUAGAAGUGCUACAUUAGACAUUCAAGCUUGCCUAACAGGGGGAUAUGUUUUUAUAACUACAGUAAAAAAUCAUCCUGAAGCUUUGAACAUUACUGAAUUAACACACAAAGGAGUUAGAUAUUGGAAUGUAACCUGUAGCAAUUGUGGUGUCAGUUAUUGUGUAGGAUCACGAGUGGAUGGGCCGGUCUUAAUCAUCAAGCGACCACGCAUGGCCCUUUUUGCCACUGAACAUAAAGAUUCAUGGUAUGGUAGUUCAGGGGAUCAAGUUCUUCAUGUAUUUGAUAACAUGCAUGAAAAGUGAUUAUAGAUAUACUGCAUUUUGCUUGCUACCCAUAACAGGAAAUAAUGAUACAAAAACAUUGGAAAAAAUAAAAUUACAAUUACAGGGAUUAUGGGACCA